ACACGACUCUCGGCAAUGGAUAUCUCGGCUCUCGCAUCGAUGAAGAGCGCAGCGAAAUGCGAUACGUGGUGCGAAUUGCAGAAUCCCGCGAACCAUCGAGUCUUUGAACGCAAGUUGCGCCCGAGGCCAACCGGCCAAGGGCACGUCCGCCUGGGCGUCAAGCGUUGCGUCAC
rnacentral:rRNA from 1 species